AACGAAUUUAUUUUUAGACUUGCCCCUUCCACCCCAAACCUGGGCCUCUCCUCUGACACUGCCUCGCGCUUCCCCAGUCCAGACUCUCACCGGCGCUUUCUCAAUCUGCCAGAUGCGAAGGCGGUGAGGGCGCCCAGCCCCGGUGUCCAGGCAGGACGGCCUACUCACCCGCCCGCAGCCCCUCGGGGUCCACGGCCUCGCAAGGGCCAGGCCAUCAGCAGGGAGGCGACAGGAAGAGGUACGGCGGCGGCGUCCGCGGCGGCGGCGGCAGCGGCGGAGGGAAGGCGGGCAGCAGCCAGGGGGCGCGGGGCGCGGGCGGCGCCAGCAGGUUGGAGGGCGAAGGCCGCGCGGGCAGCGGCGGCAGCGGUUGCGGGGGCGGCUCGGCGACCAGGGGCGGGCGGCCGCGCGCGCCUACAGGCCCGGGCGUGGCGGCGACGGCGGCCUCGGGCAGCGGCGGCAGCGGCAGGUGCGCGGGCGGCGGCGCGGGCGCCGGUAGGCGCGGCAGGUCCUGCAGCGCGAGCGCGGCGGCGGGCGGCGCGGGCACGCAGGCCUCGGGAGGCAGCUCCGGCAGCGCCAGGUGGGCGCCGGGGCCCCAGGGUGCCAGCGGCUCGGGCCGCAGCGGAAGCGCGGGCAGAGGCGGCAGCUCCGCCAGGGCGAGCGCCGAGGGCGGCGGCGGCGGCGGCGUGGGGCUCAGGCCGGGCGGCAGGCCCGGCAGCGGCGGGUGCGGCAGGGACGGCACGGGCGGCGGGGUCAGCGACAGCGACGUGCGGGACCGACCCAGCCGCGAGUGGCCGCGGGCACGGACGAGCCGCGGGUUCGAGCGGGAGCGGGGGAGCCGCGCCGCCAGCUUGGCCGUCGCUGAGGCGCAGCGACCUCCUCCCUCCCCUACGGCGGCCACGCACCGCGCGACCCGGCCAAUCACGGGUCAGUGCGCUGGCGGCCUUCGCGUGCGUCCCGCCAGGUAGAACGAGCUGCCGUGGCGGCCAAUCAGAGGCGGCAGCGCUCCCUGUCAGCGUCUCCUUUCAGCCCUCCCACGGUCUCAACCAAUCACGGUGUCCCGCGGUGCCCUUGGCCCCACCCCCUACUAGCCCCGAGACCAGGCGCUGCACACGCGCAGUUGGCGCCCCCACCUGGCCUUAG
rnacentral:lncRNA from 1 species